rnacentral:rRNA from 1 species
GAUGAACGCUGGCGGCGUGCCUAAUACAUGCAAGUCGAGCGAACGGAUUAAGAGCUUGCUCUUAUGAAGUUAGCGGCGGACGGGUGAGUAACACGUGGGUAACCUGCCCAUAAGACUGGGAUAACUCCGGGAAACCGGGGCUAAUACCGGAUAACAUUUUGAACCGCAUGGUUCGAAAUUGAAAGGCGGCUUCGGCUGUCACUUAUGGAUGGACCCGCGUCGCAUUAGCUAGUUGGUGAGGUAACGGCUCACCAAGGCAACGAUGCGUAGCCGACCUGAGAGGGUGAUCGGCCAAACUGCGACUGAGACGCGGCCCAGACUCCUACGGGAGGCAGCAGUAGGGAAUCUUCCGCAAUGGACGAAAGUCUGACGGAGCAACGCCGCGUGAGUGAUGAAGGCUUUCGGGUCGUAAAACUCUGUUGUUAGGGAAGAACAAGUGCUAGUUGAAUAAGCUGGCACCUUGACGGUACCUAACCAGAAAGCCACGGCUAACUACGUGCCAGCCGCCGCAGUAA